AGCGAACGCUGGCGGCAGGCUUAACACAUGCAAGUCGAGCGGGCAUAGCAAUAUGUCAGCGGCAGACGGGUGAGUAACGCGUGGGAACGUACCUUUUGGUUCGGAACAACACAGGGAAACUUGUGCUAAUACCGGAUAAGCCCUUACGGGGAAAGAUUUAUCGCCGAAAGAUCGGCCCGCGUCUAUUAGCUAGUUGGUGAGGUAAUGGCUCACCAAGGCGACGAUCAGUAGCUGGUCUGAGAGGAUGAUCAGCCACAUUGGGACUGAGACACGGCCCAAACUCCUACGGGAGGCAGCAGUGGGGGAUAUUGGAAAAUGGGCGCAAGCCUGAUCCAGCCAUGCCGCGUGAGUGAUGAAGGCCCUAGGGUUGUAAAGCUCUUUUGUGCGGGAAGAUAAUGACGGUACCGAAAGAAUAAGCCCCGGCUAACUUCGUG
rnacentral:rRNA from 1 species